GCGGAUAUAGUCGAAUGGUAGCUUUAGCUCCUUGCCAAGGAGAAGACGCGGGUUCGAUUCCCGCUAUCCGCC
rnacentral:tRNA from 1 species